rnacentral:lncRNA from 1 species
UACGUUGCAUUGGUGCUGGUAUGAUUGCUCAUGUUUCAUUCUGCGCUGCAAAUACAUACACUUUUUCUCCCUCUAUCCCCCCUCCCGUCAUUUGUUUCCUUGUGCGUGCGCACUGCACCUCCCGUGCUCCUUCUAAUAUAAAGUAAAAUGCUACGGUGCCGUGACUCACAUUUGAGAAUAAACCUGAGGACCAUAAUUCAAGUCGCG